AUUCUUCCACACCGACCCGGCAAUAAGUAACCCCCUUUGGACCUUUUAUUUUUUGAACUCCCUCAAAAACCCGCUCUCCCUCCGUCCGUCCAAACAAUCGAUUCCCUCUCCAAGGAAAAAUUUGAUCCAAUCCCCUCUGUUUUUAUGGCGAUUGAUCUCUCUGUUGCUAAGAUCUAUGGCCGAUUCUCAUGUUUCUCCGAAAGGUCGGAAGAUUCUUGGUCAAGAAGCUACGGAAGAGCGAUUCAGAAAGAUUGCAAGUUUUUCCAAGACGAUCGAGAUUACUUAUCUGUCUUGAAAAUAGCUGACGAUUCCUGACCAAGAAAAUCUACGAACAAGCGACGCUUGACAUGCAGACCUCCUUAAGCGACAAAUGGUUCAAUCAAUUUUGCUGGUACGUCUCUUUCUUCUCUUCUCCCACUACUCUUUCUUUGGUUGAUCUGAGAUCGUCAUGAUCUUUAGAUAAAACCCCAGAAACGCACUUGGCAACCCUUCAAAUAAAACGCACUUGGCAACCCUACAAAUUAAUCUCUCUCUUCUUUUUUGGGUUUCAUGACAACAUUUGCAGUUCCUUUUUCUUAUUUUUGCGUGCUUGCAAUGUUGCUCUCUUGAAACAAAAAAAGAAGAGGACUCUUGAGAUUCGUUUUUAAAUAAAUACUGGUGGAAUUUAAGAAACAUGAUUUUUAUCAUUUGUUGGAUGGUUUUUGGUUUUUGUUAUGUUGGUCUCCAAAUAAGUGCUCAGAUGUUCAUGGUCGUAUAUUUUAUUUCUUGAUGAUGUUUUUCUUUCUCUUCAGCAAUAAACACAUCUGUCAUAUAGUUAUCUUGUCUGAAAUUAGCUGAUGGUAUGUUUUGGAAGUUGACUGUGAGGUGUCAGAAGAAAUUUGGAAGAUACAAAGAACUGCUCUGGCAUAUGUUGAAUAGUUAUAUCUCUCAUUACUUUAUCCGACUCUCAUCUUUUCUUACUGAAUAUGCUGAUUUUUUCUGUAUGUUGUAGAUCAUUUUGCUCAAUUCCUUUGUCUUAAUGCUUUACUAUAUGCUUUCCUCUUAAUAAAAGAAAUUCUCCUUUUUCUUUAAAAUUAUCAAAAUCUGGUCUUGCAGUUUCUCCUCCUCUUAUUCUAAUACUCUGAUCCUCUCCUUUCAGUUUUCACAGAUGUUAUCUGUUGUCUAAUAUUGGUUUAUACGGAACUUUGUUUCUUCUGGGAAAAAAAAAACUGAUUUUCCUUUAGCGGCUAAUUUUUUUUCUAGAUGUUGAUUACCAAUUUUGGUAGUAGACAUAGUGGAUGGAGUUGAAGGCAUCCUUUACAGCUAAAUCUUAUAAUGAAGUAAUGUGUAUUUUGAAUCUAUUUGUUGCUCAUCAAGUCCAUGCUUUAUAUUCUUAUCAUGUUGUGGCUUAUAGAAAGCUUGGUUAAUUUAAACACAUGUACUUGUCUUCAUAUGGUCGAUAUUGUGGGUUUUCUUUUCAACCAACUUGUAAGAUUGUUAUCAUUAUUAUUAUGCAAUUGGUUUUAUAUAGCCCAUGUCAAAGGAUUUUCUUUUAGACUAUUAUGAAAUAUCAUUAGGUACUUAUGUUCUUAUGGCUAUGUUUUUGGGUUUUUCUUAAAUCAUAAUGUGAGAUUGUUAUUUACGGGCAUUUGAAUGGCUUAAGCUGUGGUUUAUAUAUGUUUUGGUUAAACUUGUCAUGUACUUGUAUUUGUACAGCUCAUCUUGUGGCAUUUUUUAUAAAUUGUUAUGAAUGAUUGUUAUAUAUUUUUGUUCCUUUGGCCUAUGUCAUGGCCAAUAUAUGGCUUGGUUGGUUUAAAUUUAUUAUAUACUUGUGCUUCCUUGGCCCAUGUCAUGCCUUAUAAAUGGUUUGGUUAAAAGCGAUAUAUGCUUUUAUUAAUAUAGCCCAUUUUUUUGGCUUUUCUUAUAAAAUCAUUGUGAAGGGUUAUGUCAGUGGAUUUUUUUAAUCAUUAUGUGGAAGUGUUAUAUACUUGUAGUCAUAUGGCUCAUGUUGCAGCUUAUAUAAGAGUUGUUAUGAAGAAUUUUUAUAUAAUUGUGUUUAUAUAGCCCAUGUCGAGGCUUCUUGUUCUAGAUUAUUGUGUAGGUCCAUCAUCUACUUGUGUUCCUUUUUCUCGUAUUUUAACUUUUCUUUUAAAUCGUUAUGUGGAAUUAUUGGCCAAUGUCGUGGCAUGUAAAUGCUUUGGUUAAACUUGUUAAUAUUUGUAUAGCCCAUCUUGUGGCUUUUCUUAUAAAUCCUUUUGAAGAAAUAUAAGUUAGUGGAAUUUUUUACAUCAUUAUGUUGAAUUGUAGUAUAUUUGCUCUCACAUGGCCCAUGUCAUGGCUUAUGUAAUAUGAUUAAACUUGUUAUGUACUUGCAUUUUUGCAACCCAUAUUAUGGUUUUUUAUGAAUUAUUAUCAAGAGUUGUUAUAUACUUGUAUUCAUAUAGCCCAUGUCAAGGCUUCUUGUUUUAGAUUGUUGUGCAGAAUCAUUAUUUACUUGUAUUACUUUUUCUCAUGUUUUGGAUUUUCUUUUAAACUAUUAUGUUGAAUUAUUUACCUAUGCUGUGGCUUGUAAAUAUUUUGGUUAAAUUUGUUAAUACUUGUAUAGCCUAUGUCGUGGCUUUGCUUAUAUAUCUUUUUGAAGAAUUAUAAGUCUAUGGAUUUUUUUAUAUAAUUAUCGAAUUGUUAUAUUUGCUUUCACAUGGCUCAUGUCGUGGCAUGUAUAUAAUAUGUUUAAACUUGUUAUGUACUUGUAUUUUUGUAGCCCAUGAUGUCGUUUUUCUUGUAAAUUGUUCUGAAGAAUUGUCAUAUACUUGUGUUCAUAUAGCCCAUGUUGAGGCUUCUUGUUUUGGAUUAUUAUGUAGGACCAUUAUUUACUUGUGUGUACUUUUCCCCGUGUUUUGUCUUUUCUUUUAUACCGUUAUGUGGAAUUAUUUGCCUAUGUCGUGGCUUUUCUAUUAACUCAUUGUGAAGGCUUAUAAGUCAGUGAAUUUCUUUAUAUCAUUAUGUGGAAUUGGUUUAUAUUUGUUUGCACAUGGUCCAUGCCAUAGGUUAUAUAUAAUUUGGCCAAACUUGUUAUAUACAUAUUUUUUGUUUGACCAUAUUAUGGUUUUCCUUAUAAAUUGUCAUGAAGAAUUGUUACAUACUUGUGUUUGCAGAGCCCAUGUUGAGGCCUCUUGUUUUGAAUUAUUGUGCAGAUCCAUUAUUUACUUGUGUUACUUUUUGGCAUUUCUUUAAAAUGUUAUGUGGGAUUAUUGGCCCUUGUCAUGCCAUAUCAAGGUUUUGGUUAAACUUGUUAAUAUUUGUAUAGCCCAUGGUGUGGCUUUUCUUAUAGAUUAUUGUAAAGCAUUAGACGUCGAUGGUUUUUUCUAUCAUGUUCUGGAAUUGUUAUAUUCUUGCUCUCAUAUGGCCCAUGUCGUGGCAUAUAUUUAAUUUGGUUAAAUGUAGCCCAGAUAGUGGUUUUUCUUGUAAAUUGUCAUGAAGAAUUGUUAUAUACUUGUGUUCAUAUAGUCCAUGCCGCGGCUUCUUGUUUUGGAUUAUUGUGCAGGACUAUCACUUACUUGGGUUCCAAUUUCUGGUUUUUUGGCUUUUAUUUUAUGGCCUGUUAUGUGGAAUUAUUCGCCCAUGUUGUGGCUUGGAAAUGUUUUGGGUAAGCUAGGUAAUAUUUACAUAGCUCAUCUCAUGGCACUUCUUACAAAUCAUCAUGAAGGUUAUAUGUCAAUGAAUUUUUUUUUUAGUUAUUAUGUUAUACUGUUAUAUACUUGCUUUCGCAUGGCCCACGUCGUGGCUUAUAUAUAAUUUGGUUAAACUUGUUAUGUAAUACUUUCUAGCCCAUAUUAUGGUUUUUCUUGAAAAUUGUUAUGAGGAAUUAUUAUAUACUUGUGUUCAUAUAGCCCUUGUUGAGGCUUAUAUAUAAUUUGACUAAACUUGUUAUAUAUUUGAUUUUUAUAGCCAUACCACGGUUUUUCUUAUAAAUUGUUAUAUAGAAUUGUUAAGUACUUGUUUUUAUAUAGUCCAUGUCGAGGCUUCUUAUUUUGGAUUAUUGUGCAAGAGCAAUAUCUACUUGUGUUUCUUCAUCCCCUGUUUUGGCUUUUUCUUUAAACUAUUAUAUGGAUAUAUCGGCCUAUCUCGUAGCUUGUAAAUGUUUUGGUUAUUGUUAAUAUUGUAUAGCCUAUGUCAUGGCUUUUCUUAUAAAUCAUUUUGAAGAAUUAUAUGUCAGUGGAAGUUUUAUAUCAUUAUAUGGAACUCUUGUGUACUUACUUCAUGUUCCAUGUUAUGGCUUAUUUAUAUUUUGGUUAGACUUGUUAUAUACUUGCAUUUUUGUAGCCUAUAUUGUGGUUUAUCUUAUAAACUGUCAUGAAGAAAUGUUAUAUACUUGUGUUUAUAUAGGCCAUAUCGAGGCUUCUUGUUCUAGAUUAUUGUGCAGUACACAUCAUUUACUUGUGUUCCUUUUUCUCGUAUUUUAGGUUUUCUUAUAAAUUGUUAUGUGGAAUUAUUGGCCCAUGUCAUGGGUCGUAAAUGAUUUGGUUAAACUUGUUAAUAUUUGUAUAGCCCAUGUUGUGGCUUUUCUUUAUAAAUCCUAUUGAAAAAUUAUAAGUUAGUGGAUUUUUUUUAUAUCAUUAUGUUGAAUUGUAGUAUAACUGCUUUGACAUGGCCUUUGUCGUGGCUUAUAUAUAAUAUGGUUAGACUUGUAACAUACUUGAUUUUUUGCAGCCUAGUUAUGGUCUUUUUUUAUAAAUUGUUAUGAAGAAUUGUUAUAUACUUGCGCUCAUAUAGCCCAUGUCAAGGCUUCUGGUUUUGGAUUAUUGUGCAGGGCCAUUAUUUACUUGCGUUACUUUUUCUCAUGUUUUGGCUUUUCUUUUAAACCAUUGUGGAAUUAUUGGCCCAUGUUGUGGCUUGUAAAUGUUUUGGUUAAAUUUGUCAAUACUUGCAUAGCCCAUGUUGUGGCUUUUCUUAUAAAUCAUUGUGAAGAAUUAUAGGUAAGCGGAUUUUUUAUAUGUGGAAUAGUUAUAUACUUGCUUUCACAUGGCCCAUGUUGUGGCUUAUAUGUAAUUUGGCUAUACUUGUUAUGUACAUAUUUUUUGUUGCCCAUAUUGUGGUUUUUCAUAAAAAUUGUUGGGAAGAAUUGUUAUAUACUUGUGUUUGUAAAGCCCAUGUCGAGGCUUCUUGUUUUGAAUUAUUGUGCAGGUCCAUUAUUUAGUUGUAUUACUUUUUUCCAUAUUUUGCCACUUCUUUAAACCAUUAUGUGGAACUAUUGGCCCAUGUCGUGGCUUAUAUAUGUUUUGGUUAAACUUGUUGAUACUCAUAUAGCCCAUGUCGUGGCUUUUCUUAUAGAUUAUUGUAUUAGACAUCAGUGGAUUUUUUGUAUCAUUUUGUGGAAUUGUUAUUACUUGCUUUCACAUGGCCUGUUUCAUGGUUUAUAUUUAAAUGUAGCUCAUAUUAUGAUUGUUCGUAUAAAUUGUCAUGAUGAAUUGCUAUGUGCUUGUGUUCAUACAGCCCAUGUCGAGGCUUCUUAUUUGGAUGAUUAUGCAGCACCAUUACUUGUCUUCCAUUUUCCGGUGUUUUGGCUUUUAUUUUAUAACCUAUUAUAUGGAAUUAUUGGCCCAUGUCGUGGCUUGCAAAUGUUUUGGUUAAACUUGGUAAUAUUUGUAUAGCCCAUAUCGUGGCACAUUUUACAAAUCAAUUUAAAGGUUUAUAUGUUAGUGCAUAUUUUAAUUUGUUAUGUUAUACUGUUAUAUACUUGCUUUAGUAUAGCCCAUGUCGUGGCUUGUAUAUAAUUUGGUUAAACUUGUCAUAAUUUCUAGCCCAUAUUAUGGUUUUUCUUAUAAAUUUUUAUGUUGAACUAUUAUAUACUUGUGUUGAUACAGCCCAUGUCGAGGCUUAUAUGUAAUCUGGCUAAACUUCGUGUAUUUGAUUUUUGUAACCAUAUUGUGGUUUUUCUUAUAAAUUAUGAUGUAGAAUAGUUAAAUACUUGUUUUUUUAUGGCCCACGUUGUGGCUUCUUGUUUUGGAUUAUUGUGCAGGACUGAUAUCUACUUGUGUUCCUUCAUUCCAUGAUUUGGCUUCUAAAUGUUUUGGUUAAACCUGUGAAUAUUUGUAUAGCCCAAGUUGUGGCUUUUCUUACGUACCCUUUUGAAGAAUUAUAAGUCAUUGAUUUUUUUUUUAUAUAUCAUUAUGUGGAAUUGUAAUACAUUUGCUUUCACAUGGCCCAUGUCGGGGCUUGUAUAUAAUAUAGUUAAAACUUACUAUGUUCUUGUAUUUUUAUAGCCCAUGUUAUCGUUUUUCUUAUAAAUUGUUAUGAAGAAUUGUUAUAUACUUGUGUUCAUAUAGCCCAUGUCAAGGCAUCUUGCUUUGGAUUAUUGUGCAAGCCAGUUAUUUACUUGUGUUACGUUUUCCUAUGUUUUGGGUUCUCUUUUAAACUAUUAUGUCAUAUUAUUGGCCCAUGCUGUGGCUUGUAAAUGUUUUGGUUAAAUUUGUCAAUAUUUGUAUGGCCCAUGUCUUGGUUUUUGUUAUAAAUCCUUGUGAAGGGUUAUAUGUUGGCGGAUUUUUUUAUAUCAUUAUAUGCAACUGCUAUAUACUUGCUUUCA